GCCUGGGUGGCUCAGUUGGUUAAGCAUCCGACUUCAGCUCGGUCAUGAUCUCACAGUUCGUGGGUUUGAGCCCCGUGUCGGGCU
rfam:Felis catus isolate Cinnamon breed Abyssinian chromosome A1, whole genome shotgun sequence.